rnacentral:misc_RNA from 1 species
GCAAACUUGGUCAUUUAGAGGAAGUAAAAGUCGUAACAAGGUUUCCGUAGGUGAACCUGCGGAAGGAUCAUUAACGAGUUUGAAACGGGUUGUAGCUGGCCUUUUCGAGGCAAUGUGCACGCCCUGCUCAUCCACUCUACACCUGUGCACUUACUGUGGGUUUCGGUGCGCCGCGCGGGUUUUUCGCUCGCGAGGUUAACCGGGCCCACGUCUUUUGUUUAUAAACGCUUCAGUAUCAGAAUGUGUGUGUUGCAAUGUAAUGCAUCUAUAUACAACUUUCAGCAACGGAUCUCUUGGCUCUCGCAUCGAUGAAGAACGCAGC